ensembl:lincRNA Gm12336 predicted gene 12336
UACUCUGUAAACCAAGCUGGCCUCAAACCCACAGAGCUCCAACUGCUUCUGCCUCUCAAGUGUUGGAAUUAAAGGUGAGGGGGGGAGAAGAAUCACCUUGCUCCCACCUGCAGGGAGAGCCAGAGCCAAGCGCCUGGAAGAACCCAGCAUCUCCAUACCGGCCGGCUCACAGUCUCUCCAUGCAGCCUGCCUCUCAGCCAAUCCUUUCAGAUGUUCAAGUUCAGACUCAUGACCUACCCCAGGCUGGCCCAAGUGCCCCUGAAGUUAGCCAUCAUGUCCCAAUGAAGGUCCCAAUGAAGAGAGAUCAAGAUCCAAGGGAGAUGUGGUGGGA